CUUCUUCUUUCUCUUUCUUCGGCUUCUUUCUUUCUUUCUCUGUUCUUCUUCUUCUAUUGAAUAUUCGGGAGAUUCAAUGAAGUAAAUUAAUUGAUGAUAUUGUGUAGAUGAGGAAGGUGAUGAUGUGGUGGUGUGGUUGAAGUCGUUGAUUCAGAGUUACAAGGAAAAUGUAAACCAGAGAGAAUCAAUUAGGUUUUUGAUAUUAAAAUUCAUUUCUGUGUGGAACAUGUUGUACUGAUAAUAUGAAGUUGUUCUGAAGAUGAAUCGAAGAAUCAAAGAGUUGGGCUUUCUCAGAGAAUUGAAUCAAAGUUCGAAUUGGUGAUGUAUAAGAAGAAUUAAAGACUGGGUUUAGCUAAUUGUGAGGAAAGGGUUGAAGUUAAUUUGAUAAUAUAGAGUUGUUCAUGAAGAAUUGUGAAAAUUAGGGUUCAUGUGCUCUGCCCCAAAACAGAAAUUAGGUUUUCAGAAGAAUUAAUUUUGUGAUGUAGUUGUUCAGUGGGUGUUGAUGAUUGGGUAAGCCUAUAAACAAUCUUAAUUCUAGUAUUUUGAUUUGAACCGUUUUAAUUAUUGGACUUAUGAAUAAGAAUUGAGAUUGGAUAAGUUAAUUGAGCUAAUGGAGUUUCUGGUUGUGUGUGACUGGAGUAGAGGAAUGUUAGGAUAUUACAGAGAUGAUGAAGGUGGUGACUGUGAAGAGAAUAUGUUUAAACUUAGGAAUGAAUUGUUAUUGCAGAUGGAACAAGCUUGAUAUGGGUGAACUUGAGUUACAGGAUUGUUAACUUAAGAAGUAUAAGAGUGAUUGGUGUUGGUAAUAUCCGUGUAGAGGUUGUGGAACUAAAUUGUCUGUGUAUGUGAAGUUGCAGGUGUUAUGGCGUGAAUUGGUAGUGAACUAUGAUAUCUGCAGGUAGAGGUGUAAUAGGUGGAGGUACAUGGAGUGAAGUUGGGAGUAAUGGGUUGCUUGCACUAGCAGUGGUGAUGUUAUAGAAUAUGGUAGUGUUUGGGGGAUAGAUGGUGGAGCUGCAGUUAUGGUUUAGGUGGAUGGAAUGAACUGAGUUGUUAAUGAUGUGGUUCUGAACUGAAUUGGAUGCUAAUGCAAGAUGUUGUAGAAGUGUAUCUAGAGAUGAAGUUAUAGAUGGAUACUAAAUAGGUGUUAGUUGUAUUUACAUAUAUAGAUAGAGUUGGAUUGGUGGUGUAGUUAGCUGAAGUGAAAUGUUUGUAUGAUUGUAUUUGUAGGAAUGAAGGUUAGAUGAACUUUGGAGUUGAAUCUGUGCAGUGAGAGGCUUGCAGUUGCUGCCUAAAGUUAGUCUUUAUUAACAACGACCGAUUCAAAGGAUGAACCAGUGGAUCGUGGAUUCGAGGUAGGCGUGGCUUGUCAUCAAAAGAGUUUCAGAGACAGAUCAGAGUUGCGCAGCGAAAGCUUCGAGGACGUUGAGUCUGUUUUUUAGAUUGCUUUUGCUAUGUUUAUCAAGUUGUAUAUUGUAUUUGAAAACCAACUGACUAUUGUAUAUGUAUCAUUUGAGAGGAGCUCUUGUAUAUAUAUUUCUGAGCGGGGCUAGUUUUGGGUUAAGUUUUGUAGCAGAUUCCUUGAUUGAAUGUUUAAGUAAAUGAUUUAGAUUC